rnacentral:rRNA from 1 species
CAGAUCGCAUGGCCUUGCGCCGGCGACGGUUCAUUCAAAUUUCUGCCCUAUCAACUUUCGAUGGUAAGGUAUUGGCUUACCAUGGUUUCAACGGGUAACGGGGAAUUAGGGUUCGAUUCCGGAGAGGGAGCCUGAGAAACGGCUACCACAUCCAAGGAAGGCAGCAGGCGCGCAAAUUACCCAAUCCCGACACGGGGAGGUAGUGACAAUAAAUACUGAUACAGGGCUCUUUUGGGUCUUGUAAUUGGAAUGAGUACAAUUUAAACCUCUUAACGAGGAACAAUUGGAGGGCAAGUCUGGUGCCAGCAGCCGCGGUAAUUCCAGCUCCAAUAGCGUAUAUUAAAGUUGUUGCAGUUAAAAAGCUCGUAGUUGAACCUUUGGCCUGGCUGGUAGGUCCGCCUCACCGCGUGUACUUGUCCGGCCGGGCCUUUUCUUCUGGAGAACCGCAUGCCCUUCACUGGGUGUGUUGGGGACCAGGACUUUUACUUUGAAAAAAUUAGAGUGUUCAAAGCAGGCCUUUGCUCGAAUACGUUAGCAUGGAAUAAUAGAAUAGGACGUGCGGUCCUAUUUUGUUGGUUUCUAGGACCGCCGUAAUGAUUAAUAGGGACAGUCGGGGGCAUCAGUAUUCAAUUGUCAGAGGUGAAAUUCUUGGAUUUAUUGAAGACUAACUACUGCGAAAGCAUUUGCCAAGGAUGUUUUCAUUAAUCAGUGAACGAAAGUUAGGGGAUCGAAGACGAUCAGAUACCGUCGUAGUCUUAACCAUAAACUAUGCCGACUAGGGAUCGGGCGGUGUUUCUAUUUGACUCGCUCGGCACC